rnacentral:lncRNA from 1 species
GCUAUUACAGGUUGAGCCACCCCUACAGCGAGAGGAUCGUGAGCUACCCUGGUACGACCAUACUCCUCCACAGUACCAUCUGACACCAUCACAAUAUGGUCUAUUACCCCAACCGCAUCACCCGACACCACCACAGUAUAGUCUAAUACCCCAACUGCAUCAUCCGACACCACCGUAGUAUAAUCUGUUGCCUCCAUCGUAUCAUCCAGUACCAUCACAGGAUUAUUCAGUCUAUCUCCAGCAUAAUCCAGUUUCUCUUUCACGGGACCCAGUUUUUUCCAUGAUGGAU